GAAUCAUUCUGUGCUGUGCGAUCACAGAUGUCUUGUUACCCUUGUAUCCCUUGUAGAAGAUCAAAUGCUGUUUUGCCAAUUCCAAAGAUUCUUUAGUGAGAACCAGAGAUGGGUAGAGGGGAAGGCUCAGUGGUUGAGCAUCGCUGCUGCGCUGGGACCUGCUCUGUUUAAGUACAUCCAAGACUGCUGGAGAGACCAUGCCCAGCACAUUGCUCAAGACCUCCUUCGUGAAGGCCACAUCUUCCGAGGCAGAGUUCUGACUCCACGCCACCAUCACCUGUGGAGAGGGGGUGUGUUCAAAGUGUCUUUAAAGCAAGUUGCUUUACUCUGCAACCAUCUUCGUAAUGCCCCCAGACAGCUACAGUAGGAAUUAGUCAUACAAGUCAUCUCCUUAAAUGAGGAAAGACUGAAAUCUCCAAAACCGAUUUCAAUUUCAAUUGCGUAUGUUUAAUCAGCAAGAAUAUUUGACAACGAUGUUACCACAACGAUUGCUGCUUUUAGCUCAACACACACACACACACACACACACACACACACAC